CAACGUAUCAGUUGACGUUAUCAACGUUAUCAUAGUGAUAUGCGCGGGAGAUUGACUUGUUCUACCUGGGCUCACUCCUAACGUUCAUCGUCGAAAGCUUCCAUAGGCUACUGUUUAAUCUCCAGAUCAUACUGGAAAGCAUUUUUCUGUCCCUCCCAAAGGCCCUCAAGAACAACCCCCUUACCAGCACUACAAAUCAGAGGAGGCUGAACGGUCGUUAGGGAAAUGGUUUACUGGGGCAAGGGACAGGGGAGGGCUGAGGGCAGCCAGAGUGGCGAAGUGAUUUAAUUCAAU